UAAAAUUGUAUCUUGGUGUAAUAAAACUGGAAUGACACAGAAAAGAUUAACAUGACCCUCCCUUACGAAUGACAUAGCACUUCCUAAAGUGUUUCGUAUUUUG
rnacentral:snRNA from 1 species